CCAACAAUGGGACUUGCCAGAAAGAUUUUAACGCUCUGUGAGCAUAAGGGCGUAAAAGGAAACCGAAAAAUAACUGAAUGGCGUCAAAAAAACAGGCUAAUGUCUUCAACGAAGAAAUGCAGAAUAUGUAAAAAAAAAAAUGAAAUUAAGGAAGACGCAAAACAAAGAUGCAUACCAAUGGAUAUGUCAACGAAGAGCACACAAUGAAAAAGUGACAAAAUCAUGCAGGUCAGGAUUAAUAUUCGACAAGACCAAGACAAGUUUACAAAAUUGGAUGACUUUUAUAUACAGUAUGGACAAGGAAGAGCUGGACAGACGUGGAAGAGAAAGAAGUGGGUCUUUGGCAUGCUGUCCAUAAAGGGACAAAGAAGACGACCAGUUUUGCGGCUUGUAGAGAGGCGCUACAGAAAUCACCUGCUUCCCAUAAUUAGACAACAUGUUCACCAAGGGUCAACCAUAUUAAGCGACGAGUGGAGAUCCUACAGAGCUUUAUCGAAUCUUGGUUACAGACACUACUCCGUAAACCACAGCAGAUACUUUGUUGAUCCAAACCAUGGAGGACAUACACAAAAUAUUGAAAGAGCCUGGUUAACCUACAAAAGCCAAAUUUGGCGACUGAGAGGAAAUAGGACAGAGAAGCUUCUUAAAGAACAUUUGUGUUUUAUUGAGUGGACUUACUGGCUGGGAUACAAGCACAAAGAUGGUCCUCUAGGUCGUCUUCUGAAAGACAUUAAAAGGCAUUACAGAGAUUAAAUAUGCUAGAACCCAAACAUUUUUCUUUUCUUCUUCUCCCAGUUCAGACAUCAAAUGGUUUGAUGUUUAUGUGCAGCUGAUAAAAUAAAUAAA